rnacentral:rRNA from 1 species
UACGUAGGGACCAAGCGUUGUCCGGAAUCAUUGGGCGUAAAGCGCGCGUAGGUGGCCAUUUAAGUCCGCUGUGAAAGUCAGAGGCUCAACCUUUGAAAGCCGGUGGAUACUGGAUGGCUAGAGUACGGAAGAGGCGAGUGGAAUUCCUGGUGUAGCGGUGGAAUGCGCAGAUAUCAGGAGGAACACCAAUAGCGAAGGCAGCUCGCUGGGACGUUACUGACACUAAGGCGCGAAAGCGUGAGGAGCGAACAGG